AGACAGUCUCUGUCUGUUCAGAGAGAGCUUUGGCGGAAGAAGGAAAUCUUCCUCCCCCUGAGCCUAUGGCCUCCACAUCUAGGCCAAGGGGAUCACAAGUGGUUGGAGCAGACAAUGUGAGAG